CCAAAUGAUUUGCAAACACACACGCACACACACUCACGCUCGUUUCAUAUUGCAAAACCACAUGUGAAAGUAACCUUAAUUGUCCCGUAAAUGUCUAGUUUCUUUAACUUAUUGAAUCGCAAAUAGAGAGAAUAAUUAGUGACAAUUCUGCUAAUAAUUCCAUCUGCUUAAAACAUUCGUCUAUGUAUUUAAAGUACACGUUCGUUGACUAAAAAACUCCGUUCCCAGAUUACGCCUUGUCUCAAUAGAACGAACAGCUGUAGUUAAUGAUCAGCAGUACGCUAUAAUUCCAAGGAAUAAGUAAACGUAUCGCCAAAGUAUAUAAAUUUAUAUACAUCCACGAUUUACAUCUCGCACAAUUGUAUACCUUUGUCAUUGAUCAUUAUUUAUAUAAAAGACAACAUCCAGCAACAUGUCUUUCGAUGAGACAUCGGCGGAUCGUAAUGUGGAGAUUUGGAAGAUUAAAAAGCUUAUUAAGAGCUUGGAAAUGGCAAGAGGCAAUGGUACAAGUAUGAUUUCGUUAAUCAUACCACCGAAGGAUCAAAUAAGUCGUGUAAGCAAGAUGUUAGCAGAUGAAUUUGGGACUGCAUCAAACAUUAAAUCCCGCGUAAACCGUCUGUCCGUACUCGGCGCUAUUACGUCUGUGCAACACAGAUUGAAACUUUACACCAAAGUGCCUCCUAAUGGAUUAGUGAUUUAUUGUGGUACGAUCGUUACUGAAGAGGGUAAAGAAAAGAAGGUCAACAUUGACUUCGAACCGUUUAAACCAAUCAAUACCUCCCUUUAUUUAUGUGACAACAAGUUUCACACUGAAGCAUUAACUGCACUUCUUGCUGAUGACAAUAAGUUUGGUUUUAUCGUGAUGGACGGUAACGGGGCACUUUUCGGUACUCUACAGGGGAACACACGAGAAGUGCUACACAAAUUCACUGUCGAUCUACCGAAAAAGCACGGUCGAGGCGGUCAGUCUGCGUUGCGUUUUGCUCGAUUGCGUAUGGAAAAACGUCAUAAUUAUGUGCGGAAGGUAGCUGAGGUUGCAACUCAAUUGUUCAUUACUAAUGACAAACCUAACAUUGCUGGGCUGAUUCUGGCAGGUAGCGCUGACUUUAAAACAGAACUUAGCCAGUCUGACAUGUUCGAUCCGAGAUUGCAAUCGAAGGUCAUCAAACUUGUCGAUGUUUCUUACGGAGGAGAAAACGGUUUUAAUCAGGCAAUAGAAUUGGCAGCUGAAUCGUUACAAAAUGUAAAAUUCAUUCAAGAGAAAAAGUUAAUUGGUAGAUACUUCGAUGAAAUAUCACAGGAUACUGGAAAAUACUGUUUCGGCGUUGAAGAUACUCUGAAGGCACUUGAGUUAGGUUCUGUAGAGACUCUUAUAUGCUGGGAAAACUUGGAUAUUCAGCGUUAUGUAUUGAAGAACCAUGCUAGCGCUACGUCUACCACAGUAUUACAUUUAACGCCUGAACAGGAAAAGGACAAAUCUCAUUUCACUGACAAGGAGAGUGGUGUUGAAAUGGAAUUGGUUGAGUCGCAACCACUACUUGAAUGGUUAGCUAAUAACUACAAAUGUUUUGGUGCAACUUUGGAAAUUAUUACGGAUAAAUCCCAAGAAGGUAGUCAAUUUGUCCGUGGUUUCGGAGGAAUAGGAGGAAUUCUUCGUUACAAAGUCGAUUUUCAAUCUUUGCAAGCGGAUGAGCCGUUGGAUGAUGUUGAUUUAGAUGACUAUUGAAUUUUUUAUUCUCAUAAUUAUAUAUGGUACAUUUUUUGCUCAUUCAGUAUGCACUACUAAUCAAUAGACUGGAUUUUUGUUGGUUUUUAUGAUUGUUCGGGGUCAAUUUCUACAUAUUAUGUCGGUUGUUUUGUUUUAUGAUGUGUGCCACAUAUCUAGAUAAGCGGUCCAUUUAACAGGGCAUCAAUAUGACAUUCAUUGUUCAAUAUAUGAAAAUUUUUGAAAACUGCCAACAGUACUAGGCUAGCAUGUUAAUCUGUAAACAUGCUCAAUAUAUUAGAAAACUGUUAAACUUAUUUCAUUUCGUAAGGAAAAUAAUUAGAUUGUUUAAUUAUCCGCCUCUAGUCUAUUUUAUUGAAUCAUUAAACGUUUAUUGUAUGCGUUUUCAUUAUUUAUUAUGGUUCCAAUUGCUUUUACGAGGACAGUAACAUACUUCUUGCUUUUAUUUAAUGUGGUAUAACUAUAUUUUUGAUGAAGUGGGCGCUUACAAGGUUAAAUGAGCGAAGAAUACAAACAAAGCACCACUAUACCAUCCAAUGUUUAUGCGCUUUUUAACCAUUACGAUAUUUUCCAUACUUAAUAAUCAACUCCUCAUUCUUACACAUUCCUUCGACAAGGAAUACUGCGUUAUAAGGUAGACUUUCAAAGCAUGCAGCUGGAUGAAUUGGAUAAUGAUUGUUUCGAUCUGGAAGACUAUUAGAACUUCAUUAAGCUGGCGUUGCUUGAGUGUGUAUGCAUAGAAAAGAGGUAAUCAAUGAUGUGUACACCGUUUACUAUCGAUCUUAAAAAUUAAAUAUAUAUAAAGCAAAACAUAAAAGCGAAAAUUCAUGUUCUAAAUUGAAAGGUAUAACGCUGAGCACAUAAGUACACCAUAUUGCCCAGGACAUGAACAUUGGACAACACAUGAAUAAAAGUAAUAUUAAGCAAAUAUACAGAUGAUUGUGAAUGUGAA